rnacentral:rRNA from 1 species
GUGAGUCAUCGAAUCUUUGAACGCACCUUGCGCUCCAUGGCAUUCCGUGGAGCAUGCCUGUUUGAGUGCCGCGAAAUCUCCCACCCCUAGCGGUUGCCGCAAGGCGCGCCGGGCGGCGGGGUUGGUUGGGUGCCGCUGCCUGGGCUUUGGCCCAGGCUCGCCCGAAAUGCAUGAGCGCUUAGCACUCGCACCGUCUCGAGGGAAGGCGGCGGAGCUGGCAUCUGCGCAUGGCAUGAUACGUCAUUUGCUGUGUGGCAGCCCAGCGACCCGAGAGUGUGUGUGCGCUACUACACGCCCUUUCAUUUCUGGUCUCAAAUCAGGUAGGAUCACCCGCUGAACUUAA